GACGAACGCUGGCGGCGUGCUUAACACAUGCCAGUCGAACGGAAAGGCCCUGCUUUUGUGGGGUGCUCGAGUGGCGAACGGGUGAGUAACACGUGAGUAACCUGCCCUUGACUUUGGGAUAACUUCAGGAAACUGGGGCUAAUACCGGAUAGGAGCUCCUGCUGCAUGGUGGGGGUUGGAAAGUUUCGGCGGUUGGGGAUGGACUCGCGGCUUAUCAGCUUGUUGGUGGGGUAGUGGCUUACCAAGGCGUUGACGGGUAGCCGGCCUGAGAGGGUGACCGGCCAUAGUGGGACUGAGAUACGGCCCAGACUCCUACGGGAGGGAGCAGGGGGGAAGAGGGCACAAUGGGCGGAAGCCUGAUGCAGGCACGACGCGCGCGGGAUGACGGGCAUUGGGUUGUGAAACGCUUUCGUCUGUGACGAAGCGCGAGCGACGGUAAUGGGUAAAGAAGCAGCGGCUAACGACGUG
rnacentral:rRNA from 1 species